AUGUGCAGGCAGAUCCCUCAGGACGAAGGAGGCAGGCAGGCAGGAGCCAGCUCGUCCAGGCAGGCCCAGCGCUGCAUUCCCAUCGUCUGAAGGCUGCAAGAGAGCGCUGCGGGCACUCGGCACUGGAGGCACUUGGACUCCCCACCCUCCAGCCCAGCCCAGGAGAAGGGAGGUCAGCAAGAGGUGGAGAAAGGCUGAAAACCUUCUCCCAGCGGAGGAGAUGGCAGCAGCAGCCCAGCUGGAGAGACUCCAGCCUGACCACCUUUCCCCAUGAGCAGUCCGGGUCCUCAGAAGGCUGGAGCCACGUCAAGCAUGGAGGAACAUCUUCAAGCACAUCACUGAGAACAACAGGCAGCAUCAAGAGCAGCAGAGGCAGCUCCCCUGCACUAGAUGCUGGUAACCGCAGCAGAGGGGAAGUUGCUGGGAGCGGCAGCUGUAGCAGUGGCUGUUAGCAGAGGGGCUGGGAGGCCCCUUUACAAAAUGAAGAGCUCUGGGGCUGUUGCCAGCUGGACUGACUGAUCUGUGCCUGGUGAUGGAUCCAUCGAAAGGGAUUACACACACCCUAUGAGUGAUCCCAGAACUGCUGGAGAUGCAGCUGAACCAAAACGUCUGGUCCGAGCAAGCAGCCAGUUGGGGGAAAUAGGAGAUACCAGCAGCGCCAAGCAGCUCUGUGGGGAUGGGAGGAGGACGCUUGGAUGCAGCAAACACUGCUGCCGGCCGUGGUGUGUCCCUGAGCCAUCUCUCGUCGGCUCCCCACUGUAGGCCAGUUCUGGGGAUACAGAGACAUAACUAUCUGCUUUUAACCAUUUGGAUAUUGUUUCUUGUUUAACCACUUAGAUAUUGUUUCUUGUUUAUUCUUUCUAAAACUCACUUACCAAGGCUGGCGCCUGUAACGUCUGUUAAGGGUUAAGUUUAUCAGGGACUGGUAUUUGUCAAAAGCUACUUGCUGAACAAAGGGAGUGAUAACAGGAACUGCAAGGCUAGUCUGACCACAGAACCGACUAGGACUUGUUAAAACUGCUGAAAUCAACAAGUAAGAAGACAGCACGCUUAAAAGACUGAAGUUCAUCUAGAGGACAGAAGAGGAAGAGGAAGAUAAGACCCCUGAAGAAGUAAAAGACCACCAGAGACAGAUCUGAGCCUGCGCAGUUUCUGAAUCAACUCCGCCCCCAACUUAUACAUACGUAUUAUGAAACCCUAUGACUAUGUAUGCUUUGGUGUAAUAAAUAUCCGACUGCUUGCCGAAAUGGUGUGCAAGCUUUGAGGAGAAAUCCCCUUGCACCCGGCGCCGUAAUAAACACGCCUGCUUUAUAACUCUUUGUGAGUUGUAAAGUUUGUUUCUGCGUGUCAGUUUGGCACCCCAGAUGGGACCCUCUCUGUCCGGCUGCAGGACCGGCUGAGAGUGGGAUGUCCUUGGCAUGCCCUGAGAUUUCUCGGAGGACCUCCCUCGCUCACCCGAUCACUGCAGAGACAGACAAGGACCAUCAGCGGACCAGGUAUGUUAAUUUAA